rnacentral:rRNA from 1 species
AUGUUUGAUGGAGUUGAGAGGAUGCUUCGGGGAGUUAGGCAUGUACCAGGGCUAAGGAGGAAUCUAAUUUCGUUUGGUGUUCUUCAUGAUGGUGGUAUGGAAUUCCGUUUUGAUCGGGAUAAGAAGACCAUGAAAAUCAUGGAAGAUGGGGUGACCGUGAUGAUAGGAGAGAGGACGACUUCACAUCUUUACAAGUUGCAAGAGAGCACUAUUGCAGUUGGAGCCAUGGAGAGUGGAGCUGCUGGAGUAGCAGUGGAGUCUCACGGUGGCGGUGGGUCUGACUAG